GUCUCUGUAGUGCAAUGGAUAGCGUAUUGGACUUCCGUUCCAAAGGCCGUGGGUUCGAAUCCCACCUAGGAUG